UACGGAGGGUGCAAGCGUUAUCCGGAUUCACUGGGUUUAAAGGGUGCGUAGGCGGGCAGGUAAGUCAGUGGUGAAAUCUCCGGGCUUAACCCGGAACUGCCGUUGAUACUAUCUGUCUUGAAUAUUGUAGAGGUAAGCGGAAUAUGUCAUGUAGCGGUGAAAUGCUUAGAUAUGACAUAGAACACCAAUUGCGAAGGCAGCUUACUACACAGUUAUUGACGCUGAGGCACGAAAGCGUGGGGAUCAAACAGG
rnacentral:rRNA from 1 species